UAAAAAAAGUACAGCUGAAGCGCAUCCUUUUGGCUUUGAGCAUUAAACAUUAUUCUUCAACAUAAAAAAUAAAAAAAAAUAAAAAAACGGGUCAUCUCUUCCUCAUCAUCCUCGUAUUCAUCCUUGAGUUCUACAUCGAUGGUGGCGGUAGAACUCGUUUGACAUUCGACUCUCUCUCAUUUUCGCUCUGUGUUGCCGGAGAUCUUCGUUCUUCGCAGUCGUCGAAUUCCCUCUCAUCUAAUUUUCUCUCUCCUCAAUACUGUGAAGGAAGAUUUUUACAAAGAUUCGUGACUGGAAUCUCAUAUUUUCCUCUAUUUGAAGGUCAGGUGAAACUGGAGAUAUGAUUGAUGUCUGUCUUCUUGCACUUGAGAGGACAUAGCUGCAAGAAUCUACUCAUCACAGGACCACAUAAUUUUUCUAGAUGGUUAUUCCUAGAGUAUGCCAAAGAUAAAGGAUGGUUAUAAUAUUAUGUUUUGUGAUGGCUUGAAGUCGUCUGUUUUGUUUUGACCUCGAGGAUCACCCAAAUUUAUGCAUACUGAUUCAGAUAUUCUUGAACUCGAGGACGCUCCAAUGGUGGAAUCUACUUCCAACAGUCGCACCAGAGACCUCGACAGGCUUCUACUGCGCUCCGGCCACCUAGUUGGACCUAACUUUGAACCUAGUGCCGAGGUUUUCACAACUCCAAGGGAGGGGCCCUUUACCAAAGAGGAGUUGGAUGAAGUUCGAGACAAGUGGGCUACUUACUUCAACGAUUGUGAACUACCCUCAGUGUAAUAAGUGUAAUAAAUAGAGCAGGCUUGUAGUUAUCCGUGACUCUUACAUUAUUUUGUUAUUUAUCGAUUUAAUUAAUUACGUUUGAAUUAAUUCGGUAAUAUUAUUGGAAAUUUGAAAUUUAUAUCA